rnacentral:lncRNA from 1 species
AAGGUCAAGAUUGAGAAGAAGUAAGGGUCCUGCAGUCACUAUUGUAUGCUUCAAAUAAAGCCUUCCUUGGUUAUUUCAAUCUGUUUUUUAAACUUUCAAACUCAUUUUCAUUUCCUUUGUUUGAAUAAGUGUAGUUUAGCUACACUCCUAUUUUAUGUUCAAGUUUAUUAAUAAAGUUUCCAUAUUCUUAUUUUCUGUUGACUUCAAUAAUAUAUUACUAGAGAUGUAUUAAGCUUCUAAGCACUUCUUAUAUUUUGAAAGUGGUUAACGUGUCUAAAUGUAUAAUCACCCAAAAAAAGAUAUUUAAACAUUAAAGGAAACCAUGAUUUUUACCUUUUUACUCGAUGUCUAUAGCCUAUAUCUUCAUUGUAAUCCUUCUUCUUCGAAUCUGAAAUUUAAAGAGAAAAAUACUAAAUUACAUAUGCAACAUUAAUUUAAAUCAGCUCACUCUAGGUACGUGUUUUCUGCUUCUUUCCUCAUAUUUUAAAAAAUGCAGAACUUAUGGAUUUCAUGAUUUUAAAAGGCACAAAGUAGUAAGCAUGUAAUUUGACAAACAGAUUCCAUAUUAACUUUGCCAAACAGACAAUACCUUCAAACACUAGCAUCGUAUGCUGCUAGACACAACCACCACAUAACAACAUUCCUGCAUACUAAUUGAAAGCAAAAUCCCGUAAGCAUUUAUAUAAGAUAUAUUAUUUUGAUUUGUAUUGCCUGAGAAUCCCUUAAAACCAGCACUUUGUUAUAUAAUUAUAUGGAUAUUUUAAAGAAAACAAAGAAGAAUAUUGUCUCUGCUAUCUAAAAUCAAGGAGAAAUUAACUACUGCAAAUCUAUAGUCAUUACGACCUGCUACUAAAAUAACAUGUUCUAGAGAGCAACUUUCUGACCACCUCAACGAUGAAGGAAAAUAAGAAAAACAAUAAACCAAGUGAUGAGUCUCAGCACAAAUCUGCUAAAAGAACGAGACUUACACAACCUCCAACUAAUCAUACUCAACCAACAACAUCUACAUUGGCUACACCUACUGGUUCUGUCACACUUAAAAAUGCUUUGAAUAGAGUUCUUUGCGAUAUUACCAACCUAAGUGGGAGCAACAAUCGGCUGGAUGUCACACAAUCCUCUAUUCACCAUCCAUCUCCUGCAACACACAUCACACUAGGUUAUUGUUUUUUACAAUUUCACCUGACUUUUUCCUGUUCUCAUGUUAGUAUUGAUUAGUAUAUGAAACGCUUAUUUCAAACUGAAAACAAUCUUUUACUUCCCAGUUUCAGGCUCAAACUUAUCCACGUCUUCAUUCGACAAUCAUGGUAGCUUAAAUACCAACAAUUUUGUCACUCCUGUGCUUCAAAACAUAACCAAUAUAGAACACCAAGCUACUCCCGUUGAUACCAUAGCUACACUGUCUGCCAAAUACAACACACCU